GGUAAUGAUUUUAUGUACCUCGAGUACCUGAUAUCUGAAAAUUGGCCGUCUAAGCAAGGUAGCAGGUAGGCAUGCGUUCUUAGAACAUACUAACACUACGCAAUCGGCCACAUUUCGUUCGUCAGAAAAUACGUGACGUCUGGGGGCCCUGGGAUCUUGGACUACUAUGAGUUCUCACAUUUCCCGUUAUUUUUGUGGAUGGGUUCAUCUGGAAAAAAUAUGUAUUACCACUUUCGAAAUAAGAUAUAGCUUAGAGCAACUUAACAUUACUUAAUGGAACAGAGCGUACGUUUCUCUCGUGGUGACUUCACAGAGAGAGAGAGAGAGACUUCAAUGAAAAUGAAAUUAACCGUUUUUUGCAUUAGAGAUAAAUGUUAAGGUAGAGGGAGGUAAGUCCAGGCUGAGGGAGCGAAGAUAUGAAUCUGACGGCGUUAACGAUAUUUAUGUUAUAUAGCACGUGCAAUAGGAGUGACUCACACAAGCCAGGCGCGCCGGCCGUGUCGUUCCACUCGUAAACAACAGCUGCAACAGAAGUGACUCAUAAGCCAGCUGCGCCGGCUAGUAUAAAAAGGCGGAACGUGCCUUGAAAUGAACAUUCGUUGGACUGCGCUUGCCUGGUGCACUUACUAUAUCCUUGUUACGUUGUGUGAUUCAGUGACUGUUGUACGUACUGGUUAAAGUUGGACAAGUGUUAAAGUGAAUUGUUAAGAUAACAUAUUGUUGAUUAAAUCAGGAAUCUCAAGUGACAUCGUUUUACUUGGUGUUCAACAAAAUAAUGUCUACCCUCAAGCUUACAUCAGAAGUGAGAUCAGGACUCUACUCUCACUGGCGUGACGUGUUUGAACAUGUUCGAAGUACAGCAAAAAAAAACAUGAUGCAGAUCAGAAUACUAGUAGUGGUACGCCACAAGAGCGUGAAUGCAGCAUACGUAAGUCGUGUAAUAACGUCUCUGUUACCUCGAUGGAAGAUCUGAGCCACGAAGAAAUCGUCACAUCUUACGUUCUGGCUCAUGUUGCCCAGUUUGACUGUCGACUUCAUCACAUGGCAUUUACUAACGGAAAUACAACACGUAACAAACUAUUGCAAGAAAUUAAGGCAAGUGCAAAUCUCAAGUGAAACUUCGAUCGCAAUAAUGGAUCUGUCAUGACGAGUGGGUAGUUCCGACACGAAUCGUUUUUAAGCCAAUGACUACUGCUAGAGUUACAUGGCACUAAUACAGUAAACCAGGACAUGAGACUGUGAAUUGUCGCUGAAAUUUUAGAAUCUACUCGAUUCAAUACCAAUAACACUACACGUUCGAUGACUUCGGGCUCCAGCAAGCAAGCAAACAAGUUUCCGUGGGGAAGAAAAAUUGACACAUCUGAAGUCGUCGUGACCUGUAAGAUAAGACGUCCGGUGCGUUCGUGUCUGGCGAUGCGGCGGUGUUCGGGUUCCGCUGGCGGAUGCAGGUUUUUCCGGUGAAGUGCGUGCUUGUGCGUGCUUGACAAGUGUUCGCGGUUGGCUUCCUCAGUGUGGGAGUAACAUCGUGUAAGAGAGGUGGAACCCGUAAAAUUGUAGUUUGCGUGGUGGCUGGUAAGAUUUGUUGCGGUAAGAAGUUUGCAUGGUGGUAAAAUGUCUUGUGAGUCUGCACAGGUAGCCGGAGGUGAGACUUCCGCGGUCGCGGCCCACCCAGUCCGCGAGAACCGGGCAGAUCGCCUCGACGGUACGGAGGCCGGCCGACGGGUCCGCCAAACGACGAGACCACGCCUCCAGCACGGACUGCCGAUAUUGGAGCCCCCGCGCUCCGGCUGCACUUGCGCUAGGGCGCGCCGCCUCGUAGGAGACUGUGAGCCUGCAAAACCUGAACAACCUCCUCAUCCGUGGGCGCCCGGCUCUCGCCUGCAAGUCGGCUGUUACGUGUGCGGUGAUGCGAGCCAUGUAGCUUCUGGGUGUUCCAUGCGCUACAAGAAGAAAAACGACACUGCUCCAGGUGCUGUGGCAGGUCCAACCAGAGACGUCAACGUGUGUUCCAGAGCUUCAGUGUGUUACAGAUAAGUGGUUUUGGCUUCCCCUUUAUGUUCCAUUCAGGGUCAGAAUGUAGUCUUAUAAAACAAAGUCAUAGUAAUUUAUUCAAUGGUAAGCGGUUUCAUGAACAAGUCACUCUUUGAUCUGAAAGUAACUUAGACCAAUCAUGAUGGCAAGAGUACUUAGGGGAUAUUCAACUCGCCCUUAAUAGUGCACGUUGUCGAGUAACAGGGUUUACUCCAAUAGAAUAGACGUUUGCCGUUCAGGGUAGUUCACUUGAAAUAUCUUAAAGUUUCAACAGAGUGAUAAUCCCUCUAGAUUAGAUCUUGAUUUAGCACGGUCGAAGACCGGCGAAAACAUAAAAAAGGGCACAAACAAAAGCUUGGUUUAGUCGAGGCAAAGCUAAAGUCAAACUCUUUUCCGCUGGGGAUUUUGUUUUCGUAAGUUGACCGAAAAUGUAAAGGUCCCUUCAACAUUACUGCAGUUUUGGAAAACGAUAGGUAUAAAUUGAGACAUGUAAAUAGUUCUAAUAGAGUGUACAAAUUUCCCCAUGAAAACUUACGUGAAAUACCUCGAGGCCCGUCAGGCCUACUAGAAAUUUCUGAAAAUUAUAGUGACGAUGACGUGACGGCGUACACAGAUGGGUUAAUUAAUCUUGUUCAUGAAACUGAUCUUAAUGAUGACGACUCUAUCACUGACAAUAGAAGCGACAUUUUUGUCCGCAAAUAGCGAUACAGCAAACAUAGUCUGUGGGUAGUGAUACAAUGUCUGUAAGCUCAGGCACCUCAGGUGCAGGUGUUGGAAAUGUAGAAAACGAUGGUCGGUCUCGCACUAUUUCUGAAGAAAUUCCGUAUAAAUGUUCUGGUUUAAGAAAUGUUUUAACAAACGCUACCGUACACGCAGAUUAAAAAAAAAGAGAAUUGUAUGUGGCUAGAGAGAUGUUAAUCCGGACUAGCAAAAAAAAAAGAGAAAAAAAAGUGUGAAGUCAUUGAAGGGUCUGUCCGGUCCAAUGGCUUGGCUAUAGGGAUUUUCAUCCAGAUUAGCCACAACAAUUAGCUACAGGGAUUGCGAUUCGGUCUAGCAUUAUCCGGUCCAGUUCGAAAAACUGAAGGGAUAACAAUUCCGGUCUAAGUUAAAAGGGACAUACUUACAUACCUGAAGAGUUUUAAAUGAACUGGCCCAGGUAUGUAAGCAGUCUGAAGGUUAUUUAUAGCCAGUAUAGGAUUUUCUGAAGAAUUAUGCGAACCGAACCGUACUAGAUUGUUAAUAUCAUAGACCACGUUUUAAGUUGCAUCCGUUAAUGUCAGGAUGAACGAACACGUUUGUUGUUCACAGACAUACCAUAAGAAUGCGCGCACGAGGACGAGCGCACGUCAGUAUGGCCGUGACGGCGUUAACGAUAUUUAUGUUAUAUAGCACGUGCAAUAGGAGUGACUCACACAAGCCAGGCGCGCCGGCCGUGUCGUUCCACUCGUAAACAACAGCUGCAACAGAAGUGACUCAUAAGCCAGCUGCGCCGGCUAGUAUAAAAAGGCGGAACGUGCCUUGAAAUGAACAUUCGUUGGACUGCGCUUGCCUGGUGCACUUACUAUAUCCUUGUUACGUUGUGUGAUUCAGUGACUGUUGUACGUACUGGUUAAAGUUGGACAAGUGUUAAAGUGAAUUGUUAAGAUAACAUAUUGUUGAUUAAAUCAGGAAUCUCAA